UGGCAUCUGUGGGCCAUAUGGAAAGAGGGA
rnacentral:piRNA from 2 species